GCAUCGAUGAAGAACGCAGCGAAAUGCGAUAAGUAAUGUGAAUUGCUGAAUUCAGUGAAUCAUCGAAUCUUUGAACGCACCUUGCGCCCCUUGGUAUUCCGAGGGGCAUGCCUGUUUGAGUGUCAUUAAAUUCUCAAACUCACAUUUAUUUGUGAUGUUUGGAUUGUUGGGGGUUGCUGGCUGUAACAAGUCAGCUCCUCUUAAAUGCAUUAGCAGGACUCCUCAUUGCCUCUGCGCAUGAUGUGAUAAUUAUCACUCACCAAUAGCACGCAUGAAUAGAGUCCAGCUCGCUAAUCGUCCACAAGGACAAUUUGACAAUUUGACCUCAAAUCAGGUAGGACUACCCGCUGAACUUAAGCAUAUCAAUAAGCGGAGGA
rnacentral:rRNA from 1 species